AUUCCCCUAGUAACGGCGAGUGAAGCGGGAAGAGCUCAAAUUUGAAAUCUGGCGGUCUUCGGCCGUCCGAGUUGUAGUUUCGAGAAGCGUUUUCCGCGUCGGACCGUGUACAAGUCCCUUGGAACAGGGCGUCGUAGAGGGUGAGAAUCCCGUCUUUGACACGGACUGCCGGUGCUCUGUGAUGCGCUCUCAAAGAGUCGAGUUGUUUGGGAAUGCAGCUCAAAAUGGGUGGUAAAUUCCAUCUAAAGCUAAAUAUUGGCGAAAGACCGAUAGCGAACAAGUACCGUGAGGGAAAGAUGAAAAGCACUUUGGAAAGAGAGUUAAACAGUACGUGAAAUUGUUGAAAGGGAAACGCUUGAAGUCAGUCGCGUCUCUCGGGACUCAGCCUUGCUUUUCUGCUUGGUGCACUUCCCGAGGCGACGGGCCAGCAUCGAUUUCGACCGUCGGAGAAAGGCUUUGGGAAUGUGGCACCUCCGGGUGUGUUAUAGCCCAUGGUCGUAUGCGACGGCUGGGAUCGAGGUUCGCAGCACGCCUUCAUUGGCCGGGGUCCGCCCACGUAACGUGCUUAGGAUGCUGGCGUAAUGGCUUUAAACGACCCGUCUUGAAACACGGACCAAGGAGUCUAACAUGCCUGCGAGUGUUUGGGUGGAAAACCCGGACGCGUAAUGAAAGUGAAAGGUUGGGACCUCUGUCGUGGAGGGCACCGACGCCCGGACCAGACCUUCUGUGACGGUUCCGAGGUAGAGCAUGUAUGUUGGGACCCGAAAGAUGGUGAACUAUGCCUGAGUAGGGUGAAGCCAGAGGAAACUCUGGUGGAGGCUCGUAGCGAUUCUGACGUGCAAAUCGAUCGUCGAACUUGGGUAUAGGGGCGAAAGACUAAUCGAACCAUCU
rnacentral:rRNA from 1 species